rnacentral:rRNA from 1 species
CCUACGGGAGGCAGCAGUGAGGAAUAUUGGUCAAUGGACGAGAGUCUGAACCAGCCAAGUAGCGUGAAGGAUGACUGCCCUAUGGGUUGUAAACUUCUUUUAUAUGGGAAUAAAAUGUUCCACGUGUGGGAUUUUGUAUGUACCAUAUGAAUAAGGAUCGGCUAACUCCGUGCCAGCAGCCGCGGUAAUACGGAGGAUCCGAGCGUUAUCCGGAUUUAUUGGGUUUAAAGGGAGCGUAGGUGGAUUGUUAAGUCAGUUGUGAAAGUUUGCGGCUCAACCGUAAAAUUGCAGUUGAAACUGGCAGUCUUGAGUACAGUAGAGGUGGGCGGAAUUCGUGGUGUAGCGGUGAAAUGCUUAGAUAUCACGAAGAACUCCGAUUGCGAAGGCAGUUCACUGGACUGCAACUGACUCUGAGGCUCGAAAGUGUGGGUAUCAAACAGGAUUAGAUACCCCUGUAGUC